CCCGCAGCUUUCUUUCGCAGCGCCCCCAUGGAAACCCUAGCCGUUGGAUCGCGCUGCGCCGGCGAUCGGGGUUCUCCUACCUCGCCGCCUUCCCAAAAUACCCCAUCGUCAUCGCGCUUCUCGGCUUCGCCAUCGCCAAGUGCAUCAAGUUCUUCAUGACCAGAAUUGCGAAUCGCCAAGCACACCAUUGCGGAGUGGAUCUGCUCAGAUCGCUGUCGUUUAAGACCGAGCCUCCAAAUCUUGCAGGAAAAAAAGAACGAAAUCAUAGCGAGGGCGGUGGCCGGCGUUACUUUCAAUCUCUAUAAGUCAGUCGAGCAACUGGCCGUCCUUGGGCCUUGGCAAAGAAGUUGUAGCGCUGACUCAUCCGUUCUCUGCAACUACUCUGUCUCUCGCAAUCUCACAAUUGAGCGAGCCCGAUAAAAGAUACAUUUAGAUUUUAGUUUAUGGUGAGGGGGGAGAGGCAUGUAGGGGGGCAUCAAAUCCAAGCAAGGCCAUCGCCAUGCUCAUCCAGGGAGGAGUGCAGACUAUGUGGGCGACCUCAAGGCUGGGCCGGCCAAAAUUACCACCCGGCGGCUCUUCCUCUUUUACCAUAGGGGAGAACCCUACAGCGCCACCGUUUCCUCGUGCUCGCAGCUGCUUGCCCCGCUGUCCUCGGAUCAGUGGCGUCCACUGCCACUCCAGAAUCAUCCUGAUUAAAUCUCUGCAAAACCUAAGUUUACUAUUUGCAAUCUGGUCGGCACCAGCCGUUGGAUCAAUUUUACAGGGCGUCAGUACUAGAGAAUUAGGUUGGCUGUCCUAUGGCCUCACUCGAAAACCUCCAGCUGCUGGUCACUGGUCUUUGUACUAAUCUGAAUGAUGUUAGCUGCAAUUACUUUUGAAUCAAAUGCCAAGUCAAUGGUUAACUACGGUUUUGCUAUUCUGGAGACAUGUUUAAUUACAGGAAAAUAGGCUGCUACUGUCUUUUACUGUCCUUGCAGGACGUGAGCAAGGUCUGCAUUGCCCUUUUUAUGUGAGAUGACAAAAAAUCUUAAAUAAAGGUAACUACAUAGCAUGCAAUGUACGUUUGUCGUUUAGUAAUCAUGUAAAUUUAUAUGUACAGAAACUAAUAUGUGGGUGAAGACAUCAUUUUCAUCCCAAUGAUAAAAGUACCGAUUAGCAUGGAAUGCCUCAUGCUAUAUUACUUGUGCUUGAAUUCACAACAUUGUGUUUCCUGAAUAAUUUAAGAACAGUAAAGAGCUCGGGACCAACACCUAUUAAGCCAAGGAACAUGCUGAUCAUCUUGUAAUGAUUUUCCUGCUUAUGCUCUGCUGCUCAUUUAUUGUGUUUUCGCUCUAUUUGGCACUUGUACUGGCCUAAUACAGCUUGGUUUCAAAGUGUCGUGCUUGGUUUCAGUCAGCUGAAAAUAAUUUAUGCAAGAG